GGAGGGCUUUUUUAGUGGGCUCGGGCUUCAUCGCUCCCUGCGGAAUGAGCUUAUUUCGAUCCGCACGGAAGUGAUUUGCGUGAGCUCAGUGGUGCGAGUUGGCAGUUAAGUAAAGCCUUUUGCGUUGAUACAGAACGGUAGCACCGUGAUGAUUCACUGCCCUGCAAGAACUGCAGUUAGGGCCGGGUGGUGCCUGCUUAACCCUGGUUGUACCACCGACACGGUGCAGCCGGGGCGAGGGUUCGCUCCUCCAGCCAUCACGCUGCGGGCCCACUGCAAGCACCGACGCCAAGUGCCCCGGCGCGCCUUCAAUGAGGGGUGCCUGUUGCGGCCUUUGCAGCACCUGUGAGCAAGCCAGGUGCUUUUCCAGCCUCGGAUGGGUGGGGCGGAGAGAAAUGGGAUUAGCUGUAACGGGCUUCGUAACGCGGGCCCCCCUUCUUCAUCAGAGGAAGAGAAGAAAGCAUGCUUGCCUCUCCUGGAGGGACAAGCCAAGGCAGUCUGUGGCUAACAGCUGUCCUCCCACAGCCCCUAUCUUCCUGAGGACACCAUUUUCUAGAGGAUGGUGGGAGCACUAGGACAGACCCAUCCUUGCCUUGACUUCUGACUUUGAGGAACAGGCAAAGUGAAGCUUUGAAGAAUUUGGCCCACCAGGCCCUGGCAGGCUACAUCCAUACAGCUCAAACCCCUGGAAGCUUCCUCUCUCUCCUAUGGCCUGUUAACUUCUGCAGUAGCAGAAUAGUUAGAAGCACAAGGCACUUGGAUAUGGCGGACAGGACCAGAGCUGGAAUUUCACCAGUGGGAGCAGAAAGUAUCUUUGUUGGUUUUGCACUGAAUGGAGGAGAAAGAACUUGAUGCUUCCGGCGCCU